rnacentral:rRNA from 1 species
UACGUAGGGGGCAAGCGUUGUCCGGAAUUAUUGGGCGUAAAGAGCGUGUAGGCGGUCCGGUAAGUCAGCUGUGAAAGUCAAGGGCUCAACCCUUGAAAGCCGGUUGAUACUGUCGGGCUAGAGUCCGGAAGAGGCGAGUGGAAUUCCCGGUGUAGCGGUGAAAUGCGCAGAUAUCGGGAGGAACACCAAUAGCGAAGGCAGCUCGCUGGGACGUUACUGACGCUGAGACGCGAAAAGCGUGGGGGAGCAAACAGG